rnacentral:hammerhead_ribozyme from 1 species
GCACUGCUGAGGAGUCCCAUACUCGGACGAAACGGCCGUUCAGUGU